rnacentral:lncRNA from 1 species
AUUAGCUUUUAAUCAUUGACUUCUAGCACAGUUAUAUGAUCAGAAACAUGCUGUGUGAUUUGAUUGCUCUCAAAUAUAUUGAGAUUUGCUGGAACAAAAUAAGUCAGGUUAAUUUUUGUAAAUGUACCAGGCAUGCUUAAAAUGAAUGUAUCUACAUUUGUUCCCGAGAUACAGGUUGAUGGACGGAUGGCUACAUGGAUGUGAUGGAGAUGGUUUACUAUCGGGACCUUCCGCACCCUGCUGAUGUUUUGUUGCUUAGGAUAUGAAUGGCUGAGCGGAGGCUGUAAAACCUGGCACUCUGCUUGGGUUAUCAAUACUCUGGCUGACCAUCAUCAUCGUGGGACUGACUUUGGUGGAAGUCCUUGGUUACAUGUCAUUAUUGCAUUUCCGACAAGUUAUAAAGUUGUCAUUACCCUCUGGAUAGUUUACCUUUGGGUGUCUCUCCUGAAGACUAUCUUCUGGUCUCGAAAUGGACAUGAUGGAUCCACGGAUGUACAGCAGAGAGCCUGGAGG